GCCUCUAGCAACACAUAAGUAUUAGAGGUAAUGCCUGCCCAGUGACACUGUUAAACGGCCGCGGUAUCCUAACCGUGCAAAGGUAGCGUAAUCACUUGUCUUUUAAAUAAAGACUAGAAUGAAUGGCCAAACGAGGUUCCACCUGUCUCUUACAAAUAAUCAGUGAAAUUGAUCUCCCCGUGCAAAAGCGGGAAUAACACUAUAAGACGAGAAGACCCUGUGGAACUUUAAAUACAAAUCAACUAUCAUACUCACCCACCCCAAGGACCUAUAACUAACUAAUACUUGACCUAUAUUUUUGGUUGGGGCGACCUCGGAGUAAAACGAAACCUCCGAAAAAAGAACAUACUUCUUAACCCAGACCCACAAUUCAAAGUGCUAACGGCAAAAUGAUCCAAUAUAUUUGAUCAACGAACCAAGCUACCCCAGGGAUAACAGCGCAAUCCCAUCCUAGAGUUCUUAUCGACGAUGGGGUUUACGACCUCGAUGUUGGAUCAGGACAUCCUGAUGGUGCAACCGCUAUCAAGGGUUCGUUUGUUCAACGAUUAACAGUCCCACGUGAU
rnacentral:rRNA from 1 species